GGGCGAUUAUAAUCAGGAAGAAAGUAGAUUCACAAUGUGUCUGUAAUCACAUUUGUUUUUUGCUGUUUCCCUAUUGAGUUGGGCCAAAGGAUCUUGUGGUUAAGGCUGGGGUGGGGCAGGCCACCUUCCCGCUGCCAGGUUGGCUGCAGGAAUGCCCCCCCCCCCCCGCCCGGGCCGGAUCUUGCGUCCUCCUCCUGCCACACCUCAGCCUUUUUGUGCUACUGCACAUGUAGCUCGGGAAGCGUUUUCCCUACAAAUGACAGCAAGUCUCGUCAGAAGUUGAUGGUCGCUGGCUGCCGUCUAUAGGCCAGCGAGCGGGUCUGCACGGCUUGGAGAAUCAUGGGUGGGCCUGCCGGUUUGACCGCUCUCGGCACGGCUACGGCGCUGGUGGUGAGUAAAGCGUGACAGAUGCUCCGAAGUCCUCGGCCAUUGCCGCGUGAGACUUCUGAUGGGGGGAGGGGAGGCGCACCUUUUCUCCGUGGUGCCGAUGAGGAGGGCGUGGAGGCCACGUGUCUGUUCCAGGAGGAUCACCGGCCUCAGGGCAGGGAUCUGAAGGACCCAAAGUCCAGCCAUCUCUGUGGCUAGUUUUGUACCCUUGCUUCCUAAGUGAGGGCAGGAAGUGUUUUCUUAUUUUCCAAUUAUGCUGAAGAAAUAUAAAUUUCCCUUUCGAGAUUGUAGAAACUAUUUUAUAGUUAAAGAUAUUUUAAAUAUGUCAUUACAUUCAUGUUCUUACAAAAGCUGCAUUUCUUAUGCCCACAGAACACCACAACCUCACACCUAAUUUUUACAGUAAUUGGUUUGUUCUGUGUCAUAUGUUUGUACGGUCUUAGGCUGCCGAGUCUCAGAGAAUUAGGUGAGUGAGUCUUUGAGUUAUUUCUGUGGACUUUGUCAGAUGGUCUCUGUCUGCCCUCUUACUCACUGUGAAACCCUUCAGCUUAGUUGACUCAGCUUUCAGGGUUAUUGCCUUGGCACAUCAUUUUGCCUAAAAUUGACCUUGCAUUCUUUCUGCUUAGUUUUUAUGCGAGGAUGCUGGACCAGGUGGUGCAUUGAUCCCUGCCAGUCCAGGCGACAGUGACACUGGAGUGCGGGCACUGGCUCGCGUUUCGUUUUUGUGCUGGCCGUUCCCGUUGGAUGGGUUAAGACCUAGUUCCCUGGGAAGUACUAUCUAGAGUAUCCUUUGAAACAGUUCUGGGUUCGAGUGACUUGAGAAGAAAAUCCUCCCAGUGGGACAUAGACGGAAGCACUUUGCUGGAAGAAGGAAAGUCGUUCAUGCAGCACUGGGGCACCUGUGAGUGUUGGACAGAACGCUCGGAACAGAUUACGUUUUACAUCAAUACAAGAAUCUUAUUCUUAAAGGACAUUGGAACUCUGGAAAUGGCUCAAGUUGCAAAUGCUUUCCGCAGUUGCUCAGAUUAUCGGCUUGUGGCAUUCCUGUGUUAAGCCGUCCAUGAGCCAGGCUGUGGGUUCCCCUGUGACCUCAGCCAGGCGGCCCUGGUCUGCUGUUGGCCUUCUGGAUGGAGAACCACCCUCCGGCAUCGGCACCCUAAUGACGUUGAUGGCUCCAUCUGAAACAAAACUGCCUUCUAGAUCAGCUCUGUUCUCUUCCUGAAAGCCUGACUGCUGAGUUUUAGAGCAACACAGGAAGAAAACCUGAAUGGCCGGACAGAAGGAACCCCACACCAGAAUGAUUUUUAUUCGCAGAUGCUCUUGCAUCCUUGUGUUAACAUAACCCUGGAAAAUGGAUUGAUGUGCCUUAUGACUUUGGAAGAUAUAUAUUAUUUAUUAUAAGAAACAACUACUUUAUUAUAGGAACAAAAUAAUAGUAUUUAUCACAAUGCAUUUGUCAUAUACCCUUGGAAUUUCUGUGAGUAACCACUUUAUCUGUGUGUUUCACAGAAUUGAUGUUUGUCCUUAAGAGGGUGGAACUCAACCCACAGACCAUCCCAGUUAUGACUUGGGUGUGUGUGUGCAACGGCGUAGUACCAAGUGCAUCCAUGUUUACUCUCCAGAGAGCUCACACCAGCCUGCUUCCUAGACUGUGCAGAGAAAGAGACAUCAUAAUAUGCUUAAUGUGACUUUCCAGUAUAUGCGAUACAGAGUUGAAUUAGUUAGCCAUAACAAUCUUAUGUUUUAUAUUAAAUUCCUUGUUACCCUCCUGGAAGGGAGUUUGACUAUAGCAAAAACUGUAACAAGUGCUCAUCAAAGAAGUGUUUAUAAAUUGAUUAUUACUUCCUAGUAAGUGUUAAUCACAACACGGUACCUCAAAAAUCUAUGAGAUGCAGCUACACCAUGCUUAGAAAUUUAUAGCUGCAAAUACUGUUAAAGAGAUUUUAAAUCAAUAGUCUAAGAUUCUACCUUAAAAAAAUUAGAAAAAGAGAAGCAACAGAAGUCCAAAGGAAACAGAAGGAAAGAAUAAAGAUUAGUAUGGAAAUCAGUGAAAUAGGAAACAAAAACAAUGCGGAAGAAUCAACGAAACCAAUAGCUGGGUCUUCAAAAAAGAUCCACAAGUUUGUCAUACUUUGAGCUACAGUGACAGAGAAGACAUGAAUUGCCAUUACCAAGAACGAAAGAGGGGACAUUACUAACAACCUUACAGAAGUUAGGGUUGUAAAUAAAUGCUGUGUACAACUUCAUGCCAACACACUGGGCAAGUCAAGUGAAAUGGAAAAAUCUUAGACACAAGCUACCAAGAUGUAGUCAAGAAGAAAUGGAGGGUUUUAGUAGGCCUUUAACAAAUUGAAACAAAGCCAAGGGCCAGAUGGCUUCACUGGUGAAUGCCACCAAAUGUUGACAGAAGAAAUCAUGCCAAUCUUUUCACAGAUUUAGAAAAUAGAAGAGGGGUAUACUUAACUAGCUGUGUGCUCUGAGGCUCCUAUUACCCUGAUAGUAGGGCGAGACAAAAACGUAAUGAGAAUAUUGUGGACCGGUAUCCUUCAUGAAUUCUGAGUAUAGCUACAGAAACUUCAUCAACUCUAGUGACACACAGGCACAUCUCUGAGAUACUGCAGGUUUCUUUCCAGAAGCCAAUAUCACAAUAAAGCGAAUCAAAUGAAUUUUUUGGUUUCCCAGUACAUAUAAAAGUUAUGUUUAUACUGUAAUCUGUUAAGUGUGAAAUAGCAUUAUGUCUAAAAAUAGGUACAUACCUUAUUUAAAAAUACUGCUAAAAAUGCUAACCAUUAUCUGAGGUUUUCAGCGAGUUCUAAUCACUAAUCCCAGAGAGCUAUAACAAAUAUAAUAAUAAUGAAGGUUGAAAUAUUGUAAGAAUUACCAAAAUGUGAUGCACAGAUAAGAAGUGAGUAGAUGCUGUUGAAAAUGCCGAUAGACCUCCAAUGCGGGGUUGCCACAAACCUUUGAUCUUAAAAAAAAGCAGUACUUGUGAAGAGCUAUAAACAAGGUGUCCCUGUAUAGAAUGGGUUAAGGUACAUGACCAAGUGAGUUUUAAUAUCAGAAGCCAGAUGUAUUCAUUCCACCAUAUUAACAGAAGACAGAAGGCACAAGUCAGCUCAACAGGUGGGAAAAAAGCAUUUGACAAAAUGUAAUACCCAUUCAUAAUAAAAACAAAAAAUGUGGGAAAGGAGGGAAUUUUCUCAGCCUGAUGAAGCACCUCCAUAAGAAAUCUACAGCUGGGGCACCUGGCUGGCUCAUUCCCCGGAGCGUGCUACUCUUGAUCUCAGUGUUGUGAGUUCAAGUCCCAAGUUGGCCGUAGAGAUCACUUAAAAAUAAAAUCUUAAAAACAAAAUAAUCUACAGCUAACAUCGUACCCAGUGAUGGCAGAAUGACUGUGUUUCUCGUAGGAUCAGGAACGUCAAGGGCAUCCACGCUCAUCCUUUCUACUCAACAUUGUACUAGAGUCCAGUGAGAACAAAAUACUGAGCAUCCAGAGAGAAAAGUAACAAAAAGUUUUUAUUGCAGAUGACAUGAUUCUGUGAAAAAUCUUACGGGCUAAUGAAUUCAACAUGAUGGAAACCUAGAUCUAUAUGUAGAUGUCAACCACAUUUUUCUAUAUACUAGUGAACUUUCUGAAAUGAAAUUAAUUCUAUCCAUACAACAUCACAAAGAUUAAAGUACUUGGGAAUACAUUUAAUACAAGAUCGUACACUGAAGACUGCAAACAUUAGGGAUUUCAUGUUCGUGGGUUGGAAGACUCAUUGGUUAUUAAUAUGGAGAUCGUUCUGAGAAUCCCUGCAGGCUUUGUUGCAGAAAUUAAGCUGACCCUAAAAUUUUUAGGGACAUACAAAAGCCUCCCAAUAUUCCCAAAGGAAUAGUGAAAACAAAAUUGGAUAAAGUUCUUCCUGAUUUCAGAACUUCCUGUAAAUGUACCAUAAUUAAAAUAGUGUGUUAGUGGUAUAAGGAUCUGUCUAGAUCAGUCUCCCUCUGGAAUUACAAAUGAGAAUCCUGAAAUCAGCACUUAACAUUCACGGUAAGUUGAUUUUCCUCAGAGGCACCAAGGCAGCUCAACAGGGAGAAGAUGAGUACAUGAAGCUGGAAAAAUUUGAUAUCCACAUGCAGAAGGAUGUAGUUUGGCCCUUUACUGUAUACAAAUACUAACUCAGAGUGCCCCGUGGACAAACCUGAAUGUAAGGGCUAACACUGGAAAACUCGGAAGAAAUCCUAGGUGAGAGUCUUCAUGACCCUGGGUUCGCAGAGAUUCUCCUAUACCACCCCCAAAAGCGAAUCCAUAAAAGGCCAGGCUGACACGUUAGAUGUCACCAACGCCAAAAAGUCGUAUCAUGAGCUAUCGUGAAUGAGAGAAGCUACAGACUGGGAGAAGUGUUGGCGGAUCAUGUUGAUAAAAGGAUCGGUAUCCAGAAUCUAGAAGGAACGCUAACAAGACAACCCAAGUGAAGAUGGAAAGGAGUUGAGUUAGACGCUCCUCUAAAGAAGGCAUGCGAGCACCGGAAAGAGGUGCUCAGCGUCCUCCGUCCCUGGGGAAAAGCAGAAGAGAGUGGGGUUGCCACUUCUACUGGGACAGCUGUCCUGUGCAGGACAGGCGGUGAUGGGUUGAACGUGGGAAGGACAGUGUCGCCGCUUGCUUAAAAGUCACAAAGCUGAGACCCUAGUUCCUAGGGGCGUACCCGUGAGGACUGACCCGUCUACAGAAAACACGUGAACCAGUAUUGGGAGUGCAUUUACAGCAGCCCCAGGGUGGACCUGGGGCAGCUGUCCGGUGGCCACUGUGCAGGGGGGCAGCAUGGCCUGUCGUGGGGUGGAGCCCUGCUCAGGGACGGCAGGGUGUGGCUGGAGGAGCCUCAGAAACACGAAACCUGAGAGGAGCAGGUGGGAACGACCACUUACCGGGUGAUUCCGUUUCUGUGGAAGGGCUCGAGGAUGGAAAAUGAGACGCAGAGCGGACUCUGGGCCGAAGGGCUGCGCCGGGAAGGGAGAGCACCUGCUGGUGGGCGCGGGAGGUUCGGGGUGAGGGAAGUGUCUCCAGUCAGAUCCUAGUGACCCCCGUCCCCCCCGCCACAGGGGCAGGGUUCUCGGCCGGGCUGUCCUCCCGCUGCCGCGUGGGCCGGGGACACCCUCUCUCGUCACGGGAGAACUCCAGGACAGGCCCGUGGCACCGCGGAUGAGAGACACGGUGAGGAGACGCGCUCCGGGGACGCGAGCCACGGGCUGGGGCGGGGUCCCGGCGGCCGGCUGUCCCUCGUCGCCCCGCGGAGGCACGUGCUGCUCACGGGGCGGGGGCGGGGCGGGGGCGGGGCCAGCGCCGGCCUUUCUCCUCGGGGAGCCGCCAUCUUGGGCUGGGCUCCUGGCGCGGCCCCGACCUUCCGACCUUCAGUCCCGCUGGAACCUGCCAGGCCGCCGCGCCCGCCUCCUCGAGUGCCCUCGGGGGCGGCAGGUGGUGGCCGAGGGCCCGCGGCGCCGUGAGCGAGCUCGCCGCGGGCGGUGUUGCGGAAGAGAGCUUGUGAGGCGACGCCGCCGUCCGCCUUCCGCCUUUGCUACCCGGCGUCUCAGGAGUCCUCCAUGAUACGGCCGCUCGGCGGUUGCCGUGAAGACCCCGGACUUGGCCGUGUGUCUCUGAGCUGUGGGAGAAGACAUACACUCUGGUCCUCACUGAGAGCCUGGGUGGACUUGGCUGCAAACAGAAAGGGAGGAAAUAGCAUCAUCUCUGGCAGUGCAGCACAGUUCAAUAUAGCAGCAGUCACCGAGCACUGCCUGGAAGAGGCAAAGACAGGUAUGAAAGUGGAUGACACGUGUCCAGUUGGCGAGAAAGAAUCAGGAUUCAGAGCGGGAGACCAUUCCCGACCGGGAAGCAUUUUCCCAGGCAAGGCCACUUUUGCACACUGUCUGCCCAGACUGCAGACUCUUCAUUCCCCAGUGAGGGCACGGGUAACCCGUUAUUUCACCAAGUGUUUGAGAAGUGAGAACAGCCACGCUGUCAUAGAUAUCAGCACUGAUUUUUCCCCCUUCGGCCCCAGGACUCACCGGGAGCUGUGAAGGACGUGGGUGCUCCUGCUGAGACCUUGUCCCUACCUGGGAAUAGGCGAUGAGGUGUUCAGGCAGACGGCAGCUGGUGGGUGGAUGCCAUGUGACGGGGACUGCAGGCCCCAUCGGGCAGCCCGACCUGGUUCCUGUGGUCCAGUCCCUGCCCUUCAGGAUGGGGCUCCCUUACUGAGAGACUGUCUCGCCUGCGUCUGUCCCUGCAGGUGCUGGACAAGAGAAGGUCCUUCUCUGGCUGCUUUAAAGUGUAAAGUGUCAGUAGAGGACAUGAGGUCCAGUGAUGCCAACAGUCGCCCAGCCCUGGGAGAGGUGGCCCAUCCAGGGUCAGCAGGGCCCCAGACGCCAGAGCAUCAGAAAUACAGAAGAUCAAGGAUGUCCCCCGGGCCCUGGCCAGCUCUGUGCAUCACUUUUGCCAAUUCCCACUGGACGGAAACCGAGUUGCCCUGUCAGGAUGGGGCUUCCUGGGAAUUCCCAUCAUCCGACGUGCCUCCCGGCCCGGCCUUCCCACAGACACGCUCGGCUGUGUCCGUCGGCUCCACGCGAGGCUCACGGGGCCUCUUUGGCGAGAGAGGUUCGCGGCAGGACAGCUGGGGCUUGGUGGCAGGUUCUGGCCCUAGAUCUAGCCGGGUUCGGGAUCAGUGCAGUGAGCGGUCACAUGCCAUCCAGUCCCGGGAGCACUCGUGCGUCUGUUUUAAGAAGAUUUUACUAAUCUCAUUUUUUGAAACUGAGAUUUUUAUCUGUAAGACUUCUCAUGACCUGAUUAAUCCAGAGCUGCCUUUUAAUUCCACCUCCCCUUAUAGAACAGAAAAGUAAUAACGGGAUCCAAAUAGUAAACAUUAAAAACGCCUUGCAGGCAUAAAUCCAAAUAAUGAAAAAAUUUCAGAAAAAUGGUGUUUUUUUCAUCAUCCAAACUUCAUAGUACCUAGAGCUAUACCUGGAGGUCGAAUUCUUUCCAAAGUGUUGGCAUGGUACUUGACGUGUAGUUAGAAAAACGUGUGCUCUUUCCCCAGAAACACAUAGUCAGAUCUCAUCUGCAUACUCAAGCCAGCUGACACAGAAGGAGGAGAUGCAGAAGGAAGGGUACCGAAAUCUGAAGUAGUAACUGGGAGACGAGAUGAAGAAAGGGUCAAAAUGUAAAAUUCAGGAUUAUGUACCUUGUGUUUAUCAAAACUCUCCAGAUAAUAAUUUUUAAAGAUAAUUUUUAAAAAUCUACUAGACGGUUAAUUUUAUAAUAAAAAAAACUUCUUGGGGCGCCUGGGUGGCUCAGUUAGCUAAGCAUCCGACUUCAGCUCAGGUCAUGAUCUCAGCGGUUUGUGAGUUCAAGCCCUGCAUCGGGCUCUGCGCUGACAGCUCGGAGCCUGGAGCCUGCUUCGGAUUCCGUGUCUCCCUCUCUCUCUGACCCUCCCCUGCUCACAUUCUGUCUCUCUGUCUCUCUCUCUCUCUCAAAAAUAAAUAAAAAAGAAAAAAAACCUUAAAUUAUUUUGGCCAGAGCUAAACAAAUCUCAGAAUCAAAUUCGACUUUCGAGUUGUGCCUUCUAUAAAGCCUGCAGGCGAGGCGCGAGCCGUUUGAUGCUCACGGGGUCAUCACACACACACCAGGUGAACACUGGGAGCAAGACCUCCCUGCCUUCUCUCUUCUCCUGGGCUCUGCUGGGACCCUACUUUGCCUCCUUCCCCUUGUCUUCUGCUCUUUCUCCAACCAGCAAACAUUUAUUGAGCACCUUCUGUACGCCAAGCCCCCCUUAUAUCAGGCAUUGGGGGCACAGCACUAAACAGGGCACACAGCUUCUGGGGUCAACUGGGAGAGAACUGGUUCUGCAGGCAGUUUCCGUCUGCUCACCGUGGGGGGGGGGGUCAGUGGCAGGCAAGUGUGUUGCACAGUGGGAAUCCUUGAGGUCAUCUGCUGAGGACUUGGGGGGCCCAAGUUGUUGGUCAUCACUGGCACUUCUAUUGGAGGGAAACCCUGGUCUUCUCCAAGACCAGGUCUUUGGGAAGAGGGACUCUGAGUCACCGGCAUGAUGGGUGUGUCCCUGGUUUGCUUCCACGAAGGGAGCCAGCCUUGAGACAAGCGUCUUCUGCAGAAGACGGAUGAGAGGGGGCUCUGCCAAACUGCCACCCAGCCCUCAACAAGAGCCAACCCUCACGUUCAACUCCUUGGCUAACACCAGCCAAUAAAUGUCCUUCUUUGUCCAACUGAAGUUGGUUUUUCUGUGCGUGUAGUUGCCAGUGUCUAACAGACUCAUUAGAAGGGAUGGUGGAAGGGAGAGAAUAUUCUAGAGACAAUGAGCAAAUGUGGCAAGAGCAUGUGAGGUGCUCAGCCUGGCUGGAGCUUUGAAAGGGAGGGAGAAGAAGGAAGAGGCGUCAGGCUGGAUGAUUGGGAGGACCCCGUGUGUCGGCUUAGCCUCGAGCUGGGGGCACACUCAGGAGCUUCCUGGGCAAGACCUCAGCCUCCCUGCCUCCCCUGCACUCCGGCCAGUGAGGAGGGUUAGCUUGGAGAGGAGGAAAUUGUUCACGUCCUCUAACAUUUUGGUCUCAAGUCCCCCCUCACACUAAAAAAUUAAAAAAAAAAACUUUUUGUGGGUUGUAUCUACCAAAUAUUCGUUCAAUUAGAAAUUAACACGUAAAUCUAAAAAGAUUAUCUGAUCUGUUAAAAAUAGCAAUGAUUGAUUCAUUGCAUGUGACUAUAGCACAUUUUAAUGAAACAUAACUACAUUUUCAAAAACCAAAAGAAGGUAUCAUUUUGCCCUUUUGCAAGUAUCUUUAAUGUCUGGCCCACUGGAAGGAGCAGACAGUUUCAUCUGCUUCCACCGUCAGUCUGUUGUGUGUUUUGGCUGAUGGCUGCUGAGAAAAUCUCAUUUACACAGAGAUGCAGUUGGAAAGGGGAUGGAUAUUUUAAUAGUCUUUUCAGAUCAUGAUGCAUAUUUUUCUUUGCUACAACACCAAAACUCACCAAGUGGUAGUGUCUUAAAGGUUAGCUGCUAAGGGAAAUCUGAAACCUUAUCCGUACACUUGCAUUCUAUUACGUUAAAAUCCAUUGCUCUCUCUUGUGCUUUGAAUGGCUCUUACCCGUGCAUGGCCGUGACCUUGCAGGACACUGAACACAUCUUGGAGGUGCGUCCCCCAGGGGUUCUGGAUCACUCCUUGAGAGUCGUCUCAGUAAAUCAAAGCAGUUAUGCCAGGAGCCUGGACAAGAGAGGUGGUGGAGAGAAGUUGACAGGCAAAGUGGAUGUGCGCUGAGGGGUGGCAUCGAGGCACCACCGGGGGACUGGAGACUGGUGUGAUUGAUUUGUGGGAAGAGACGGGGGCACCCCUGUGUUCUCGCCUGGGUGACAAUGUGUGCUUCACGGAUAUUAGGACAUGGGGAGAGAAUUAAGUUUGGACGAAAUGAAGUGGAUUCUUCUGAGUGUGUUGGGACUGGGUGCUCAUCAGACACCUCGGACGACACAGACACCUGGGUCUGAAGCUCAUGAGUGCUCUUCCUCAGGGAUAGUCGUGGCUCGGAAGUCAUCAGAAUAUGUGUUAUAAUUCAAGCUGGAGAACAGGGGCAGCAUCCUGAGGAGAGUUUGCAGAGGGUAAGAGAGGAGAACUGAGAGCAGAAGCCUGGGAAGCACUGAUGACUGGGGGACAGGAAGGUGCCAUGCCAUAGAAGCAGGGAAAAGGGGUGUCUCAAGAGGGACAUGGCCGAUGGGGCACAUGCUGCAGACGGUUAAGGAAGACAAAAGCCAACAUGCCCUCCAUGUUGAGAGCAUGGGCCCCACUGGUGACGUUGGCAGAGCAUGGUGGAGGGACCUGUACAAGUCAGAAGUUCCUCCCUCCUGAGGAUAUUUGCAAAUAACAAAUCAGAUAAAGGGUCAGUGUCCGAUAUCUAUAAAGAACGUACCAACCUCAACACCCAGAAAACAAAUAGUCCAGUUAACAAAUAGGCAGAAGACAUGAAUACAUACUUCUCCAAAGAAGACAUCCAGAUGGCCAACAGACACAUGAAAGGAUGCUCAACAUCACUCAUAAUCAGGGAAAUACAAUUCAAAACGACGAUGAGAUACCAUCUCACACCUGUCAGAACGGCUAAAAUUAACAACCCAGGAAACAACAUAUGUUGGUGAGGAUGUGGAAAAAGGGGAACCCUUUUAUCCUGUUGGUGGGAAUGCAAACUGGUGCAGGCACUCUGGAAAACAGUAUGGAGGUUCCUCAAAGUUAAAAAUAGAACUACCCAACGACCUAGCAAUUGCACUACUAGAUAUUUACCCAAGGGAUACGAAAGUACAGAUUCAAAGGGAUACAUGCAGAAAGGUUAAGUUACUGCUUCAUAUAGACAUAACCACACUAGGCUACUAUGCUUGGCUGACUCCUUACUUGGAUGUCCAAUGUCAAAUAAAGUAGUACAUCUGUCUGUUGAUCGAUUGAUUGAUUGACAGAUCAGUCCAUCCAUCCAUCCAUCCACCCAUCCAUCCAUCCAUCCAUCCAUCCAUCCACCCACCCAUCCACCCACCCAUUCACCUACCCAUCCACCCAUACAUUCAUCUAUCCCUAUAGCCACCCAUCCAUCCAGCUAACCAGCCAGCCAGCCAGCCACCCAUCCAUGCAUCCAUCCAUCCACCUAUCAUCCAUUCUUCUACUUCUCCUACAACAUUUAAUUGAGACUUCACUCAUGUUCUAGGCUGUAAGAAAUGGUUCAAAGCUGCUGGAGAAGAGGUGAAAACUUUGUUCUAAUAAACAGGGGUUGUAGAAAGUACUGUUUCCAUAGAUGUUACUCAGGGGCUUUGGGAACUCAAGGGAUGGUUUAAAUGCUGAGCUGAGUCCUGACUGUGUAAGGUAUUAAGCCCUCUCACCAUUUAUUCAAGGUCAGAGACCACAUCUCAUUCCUUAUAGCCUUUGUAUUAUCCCCAGGAGGUCUCUUUUAGUGUUUGGAAACUGUGGUCUCUCAAAAAAAAUGACAGGGAGGAAUUUAAUGAUUGAUUUGCUUUGUGCUUCAGGAGGGCAGCAGAAUAAAAACUGAGCAGCACAAAUACGUAUCAUCUGGCAGCCUUUAAAGCAAUCGCAGAAAUAUUUCUGAAAGACAGAAUAAGAGAAAGGAUGCUUUACAAAUCCAUCAGAAAGACUACGCUGAAAAGGAGAGGAAAGGCUAUGGGAAAGAACAGUACAAAAACAGUACAACCAAGUGAAUGCUCUUGCACUUGUGGGGGGCACAUCCCUGGUGCAUGGAGGGAACAGCAGACGGCACCUUUAACUUGCAGAAACGGGGGGCUGGGCUCUUGACCAGAGGCUCCCCCACAUCUGUCUCUGGAUCACACUCUGCUUCUACGUUGGGGUUUCUUGCCUGUGUGGGACUCUGGGCUCAGCCAGGCCCUGCCGGCGAGCUCACAGCCGCCUCCUGGUCUCAGCUCGGCGUCUCUGCCUUGUCACGACAGUGCACCCCCACGUCAGCUGUGGACAAAGAGGAAUCCUGUACUUUAGGGUUCUUGUUCUGCUGAAUUUUUACAAAGGAGGAGAUUGUUACUUUAAAACUUUGGGGGGUUUUGGUGUUUUUUUUUUUUUAGCAACAGAACCUUUUUCCCACCCCCGCCCCCCCAAACAAAAUCUAGUGCCCAGCCAUAUUCCUUAAGACAGAAGACAAGCCUUUGUGGUGGAGACUGAGCUGUGAAUGGUGGCAUGGGGUGGGCGGAACGCCCCUCCAGCUCUCCAUGCCCAUUGGUUUUCUCAGGAGCUGCUUUCAUUUUGUAAACCCAUCAGAGGUUGACGUCUGCGCUCUGUGCGCAGACCUGCAAUGCAUGUCCACAUCUGUGCACGUAUGUUUCUCUGUAUGGGGGGUGACGCUCGCACAAAAGACUGAAAUAGUUCAUUGAAUAAAAGAGAAAAAGGAAAGGUAGAGAGCGUAAGUAUGCAUCAUCUAGUUGAAGAAAAUAAAGUCCUGGCUCUCAGUAUUAUGUGUGGAUCACAUGCUGUGUAGAAAGUCAAGAAUUACAAAAUUGAAUCCGGUCAAUGGGUGUGUUGCCUAUCACUUCCUGAAAAAAACUAUUAAAAAAAAUCAUGCCACAUUUCUCUCAGGUUUGUAAUCGUUCUAAUGGAACUAAAAUGAACUCUAGUGAGUUUGCCCCACCUUAGACAAAAGUUGAGCCUCGAAAAAUGCAGGGGUUAGGGGUGCCAGCCCCCACACAGUCAAAAUCUGCAUAUGACUUUUGAUUCCCCCAAAUUUAACUACUAACAGCCUACCGUUGGCUGGAAGCCUUGCUAAUAACGUCAAUUAACAGAUAUUUUGUAUGUAAUAUGUGUUAUAUAUUGUACUCUUACAGUAAAAUAAGCUAGAGAAGAGAAAAUGUUGAGGAAACCGUGAGAGAGGAACCUGGGGGCUCAGUCGGUUAAGUGUUCGACUCUUGAUCUUGGCUCAGGUCAUGAUCUCAUGGUUUGUGGUAUCGAGCCCCAAGUCAGGCUCUGUGCUGACAGCGUGGAGCCUGCUUGGGAUUCUCUCUCUGCCCAUGCCUCUUUCUCUCUCUUU